UGAAUAUUGUAUUCAGUUCGUAUGUUAACCAGAAAGAAGUUAGAUACUUUACUCAGUGCCCUGUCCAUGGCUAUUCUUAUUAUGCAAUUGACCCACAGGUUUCAGCACAGGUUUAGAUGUUCAUGUUCAUCCUACCUGAUGCAAGAGUGUUCAUUACACGGCAGACAACAUUUCUAAGCCUUCUUCUUUUUUUUUUUUUCAGAGGCUCAGGUGCCCUUGUGAGCUGAGAUCACUGCUCUUUGCACUGGGCCACUCUGAGACUGGCACAAUGAACAGAACCUCCUGUUGAACGUUUCUCUCCUUCUGGGAUGAACUGUGGGAAGAGCAUGAAAGGUCUCCCAGCUCUCGAGUGAACCAGGCUGUGCUCACGCUGCAAAACAGGUGGCUCCAGGCAUGUUAGUGAUACCAUUGCUGAAGUGUGGUCCAGAUGGCUAUGGGAGGAAGAGAGCAUCUUAUUGGGAGGGGAGGUCAGUACUGCUCUGUGCUGUUAAGUUCCUCCAGAUAUGUCUACUGUGGCAGGUGGAACAUUGCCCAAAGCAAAGCCUGGAUCCUGGUGUGAACCAUGGCACUGAAUGACACUGUCAGCCCUUGGUGCUCUUGAGGCUAGUCUGUGUUGCAGGCACAAACACUUUUAAGUGCAUGCUGAGGCAUGGCAGGUGUC
rnacentral:lncRNA from 12 species